rnacentral:lncRNA from 1 species
CAGUCAAGUGUCCUAAGUUUUAUCAACAUUCACCAAUUAGUGCACAAGAACUGCAAUUAAACGAAUAUGAACAAUUUACUAAUCUUCAUCCUAUGAUAUUUGCACAUUUCCUCAGUUUCCUGUGUUACUACCAUCUGCAUGAACAAAGAUCAUGUAAACAGUCUUUACUUAUGUUACAACAAACCAUUAUGCAGCACCUUACCACUAAUCAAUCGUAUGCAUAUCAUGACACAUUAUCCAUUAUUUGUGUUGGCAUAUGUUAUAUGAUGAUUGGUGAUACACACUCAGCAAGACAAUGUUUUCUUAAAGCUACUCAGAUUGAUGAACAUAAUUUAACCAGUGCAGCAAUGAGACUGUACAAUUGUAAUGUAGACUAACUUAUACUGAAUGAACAUGACCUUUUAUUUAUUCUGUUUAUUUCCAG